rnacentral:lncRNA from 1 species
UGCUUUUGAACGAAGUUAAUUAAGUUUUGGUGUAACUAGGCUGAAUUAUAUCAGAUUUGUUUAACUGGAUUUGCUUCUUCCCAUCUCAUGAUAUCUAAUUACAUGCCCGUUCAAUGAAAAAAGAUAUCUAAUGCCUUUUCAAUUUGUUUCCUGUGUCAAUGCAACUGAAUGUGAUAUCCACAUACUGAGGUUUUCCUUGUAAAGAUUUCUAUUAGUGUAGUGUAUUUACUUCUUGUGCUGCUGGUUCUUCUAUUCCGAGGACUUGUUCUAUUAUGGAUACCUUAUUUGAUCAUUCUUUGGCGAACUUAAUACCGCCCAGUCAGAUGUUUAAAGGGGGAGGAGUUUAAAGUUGAAUAUUGCCCUCAAUUGGGGAAUAUGUGCUGCCCCCUUUGUGUGAUGUGUGGAAAUUUGCUGUGCUGACUUAUUUCUUUUGUAAUGCAGGCUCAAGGACGUGAGGCAAUUACUGCCAAACUGGCCGCAUAUUUUCUCAUGUAAGCUGGCAGCAACCGUGUCAUUGCAGGCAGGAUUCGUGCCCCUGCACCUCCAGGUUCCACUCCGUCACAUGUCCCUUCCUCCCUCCUUUCCAAUAGGUAUGCCCAUGUAUGUUUAGCUGAUGUGAUCUGUUCUUGCGUCUUGCUCUCCUGUCAAUGAGAACCUCAUGGAGCUCUUCAUCAUGAUUGAUGCAUGUCAGCGGGCCUCAGCGCGAUCUAUUACCGUUGUCAUUCUCUACUUUGGAUAUGCUAGAGGAGACAGAAAGGUAUGGCCAAAUAGUUAAACUGGCUGAUUGCUUUUGAAAGAAGUUAAUUAUGUUUUGGUGUAACCAGGCUUAAUUAUAUCAGAUUUGUUUAAUUGGAUUUGCUUCUUCCCAUCUCAUGAUAUUGUAAUCAGAUAUUCAGUUUAUUUUUCAGUCAUGUAGUUGAUUUAAUCUAUGCAGCAAUUUUAGUAUUCCUGUUUGAGUCUUGUAUCAUUUUGUUUUUCAGUCUAAAAUCCUUGUUUAAUUGGUCAGUCUGUGUUAUAGUUACUCCUCUUUCUCAAUAUUUUGAACCUUUUAGUUAUUUUCAGUUUGACCAACAAUAUGUUUUCUUCAGAUUUUGGAUCAUCCAUAGGUGGCCAUGAUAGCAGCUUCUCUGCUUUCAUGGGUAACCUCCCUAUCUUUCUGCCUCUUUUCGCGCGUGCGCGCGUUCGGAUUUUGGUGUGAAAAACUAAAACCUACAGUUCAAAGCAUUUUUGUGAUUUCUGUAAGCUCACAAUUGUAAACUAGGACCUACAUAAUUUUAUUAUUCAACCAUUUUUAAGUGAUUGUUGGUACAUAUCAUCUUGGUUUUGAGUAGUGUUCAGUGUCAUUUAAGUUAUGUUCAGUGGGGAGAGAUGACCUCAAACUGUUGUCAUGAUAUGUCCUCAUUUUAUAGUUUUGCAGGUAGUGAGGGAGGAUGGACACGAGAAGAGUGACACUGCCAUCUUCACAUAUGAAGUUUCGUUAUGAUAUAUUUCAUUCCAUUUUAUUUUUAUCACACGCCUAGAAGCUUUGCUUUAGCUAAGAUUUUUAGUUCCAUUCAUUAGUUCUGGACAGUUUGACAAUGGCCAACCAUCUAUCAUGCACAGGUGCAGGGUACAGUUUGACAAUGCACAGGUGCAGGGUACAGUAGUCAGUGUUCGUAUAUUCAACAUAUGGUCCAUCUUAUGCAUACAAGGUGCUAUCUUGGCAUGGAUACAACCUGCAACCAUAUGCACAUGAAGUGUGUAUGUUCUAAGAGGAGCACAAUUUCAGAAGAGUAUUUUUUUAUUUGAAGUGGUUUGAUUUUCUAUCGAGACUUUUAUAUCUAGCAUCAUUUUGGAUCUUAUGUAAAAAAUAUGAUAAUCAUGUCCGUAUGACUAUCAUCAAUCCGUACUUACUUCCAUAUGUUUCCUUCUGUGUCUACAUAUUUUGAUGCACACUCUUUCAAUAUUUGGCUUGCUCUCGGCCUUUGCGCCCUGGGCGCAACUGUUCAUCUAGUAGCUGUAAUACCCGAGUGAAUGGCAACUGAGCAGGUCGCCCGUGGCGGAGUUGAUAGUGAAUGAGCCUCAGUAUUAUCCACUAGUAGUAGUAGUAUUAUUCAGUAGUACUCCGGGUAAACUGGAGUAGAAUGCAACUUACGGAAGUUUAGGCAUCUAAAAAUUGGUUAUAAAUAUGUGAGCAUCUGUAGUAUGUGGCUCAACCAGUAGCACUGUAUCAUCGCUGGCUACGCCAGUCCCUUUUCAGCUGUUAGCUAACAAAUUUUCAUUAAUAUAUAUGAAAUCUACAAAUUACAAGAACUGAAAGAAGUAAAAAAAAAAAA